GGGGCCUGAAGUUAGGCAGAUUUUUCUCAUCACAUGAUGGGGGACCUGUAUCAUGUGAUGGCUCCGGUGAUGUUGGAGGCGGCAUGUGACUCCCAGGGCUACGUGGGCUCAAAAACAAUUUAAAUACAAAAACACACGCAGGUUCCCCUCCUUCCCUUUGCCUUUUGGUCUGGCUCUCUCUACCUUUGCGUUGGUGCCUGACCGAAUGGAAAACCCUUCUUCGUUUUGCAGCCUGUGAGCUCCGGGUACCUGGAGACAAGGCCCCUGUGCUGCCCCCACCCCAGGAGCCGUCCCCCCAGCAUUCUGCAGUCCUCUGACUAUCAGCCUGGUGUGGACACUGAGGCCCAGAGAGGUGAUGUGAUUUGCCUAAAGUCAUGCAACUAGUGGCAGAGCCCAGCCUAGAAGCCAGGUGUCCUGGAUCUCAAGAUACUCCACUGCCUGAGGAAUGGAACAGCACAGGUUCCACACACUGGUGGUGAUUCACUGCACUGUACAUACAACACUGAGACAUUUUAGCAACUUGUCCAUGACACUUGCGAGUCUGCUCCUGAACGCCCGCUGCGCAGAUAUUUUGAGUCUGUCUCAUACGGUGGAACGAAGCAAUAGAGGGAAACAUCACUUCUCCUCCGGUUUGGAGAUCCCGAUGAGUCUGCAUUUCUGGAGCGCCAUCUGGCAUGGCAGGAACAAAAUUCUCAUAGCUAGCCGAAAACUCUUCAAUGCCAAAUGUAAAAGAUCACAACAAUCCCUUCCACAAUUGUGAGUUGGCAGCGCUUCUUGAUAAAUUUGGAAGGCAUUUACAGUGACUAUAUCCAACUUUAACUGGGCGGUGUCUUGGUUUCUUUUCUGUUGCUGUGAUUUUAAAACAAAACAAAACAAAAAAAGAAACAAAAAUCAGGUGGGGAAAAAAAGCCAUUUAAGGGAGAAAGGAGUGCUUUCGGCUCACAGUUCGUGGUCCGUCAGGGUGGAAGUCGUGGCCAUGGGAAGUUAAGGCAGCUGGGCAAGUUAUGUCCACAGUUAGAAGACAGUGAUGAAAGCCACACUAGGGAUCAAAGCAUAAGGUCACCCUAUCAUCAGCAAAGGAUCCCUUGUCCCGGCAAUGGCCCCACCCACAGCUAAGAUGCGCUUCCCAUUAUCAGUAAUCAAGGUGAUCCCGCCACAGUGGUGACCAGUGGCUCAUCUCCCUGGUGAUUCUACAUUCUGUCGAGCUGUGGCUAAUUAACACUAAUGGCCAUUAGCAGCAUCUUAAUGACACGGUUCAGCUAAAAAUGUACUGAUGUUUCACCUCUUUAAUUAAUUUAACUUUGAUACGUUCUUUUAUUCUACAGGAAACUAUCUGUUGGCCUUUUCAACAUUGUUCACGCUCCUCUGUGGGGGUGGCCAUAGAGGCUGGGCUGAUUUUCAUCCCCACAAACAAAAUCUAAGGGUUCCUCCCCUCAACCCUAGCAUUUAAGAUUUUAAAAAAUUGAAUAAAGCUAAAAUGACUCACCACACUCAUAUUUGAAGUGCUGAAGGGCAAUGUGUGGCCACUCUAUGCCCAGGGAGGCUCUGGUCCCCGGAGAUAACCACACGGGGACCGGUUCUCUGCUCAGUGUCUAAGUAGGUGCCCAGAGAGGUUGGUGGGAGGGAUAUCCUGCAAUGUCCUUGACAGCAGCCACUGACCAGAGCAACUCAUAUAGCCCUGACCUCACCUGACGAUGCCAAAGCAAUCAAACAAUAGUAACGUCCGCCAUGUAUCUAUUCUGAGGACCUUUAGGCCAGAUUUAAAAAUAGACACACAGCUAGAUCAAAGAUGUAUUAUUAUAUUACUAGGGGGAUGGAGGAAAAUCAAGUUGUACCAUGUGACAAUUUUUUUAAUACUGUACUUUUAAGAUGAAGGCUAGAUGGGAUCUGGAGAAAUGGCUUGGUGGUUUAGAGCACAGUUUGUUCUUCCAGAGUACCUGGCUUCCAUUCCCAGCACUCACAUGGUGGCUUACAGCCACAAUAACUCUGGUUUAAGGGGAACUGAUGCCCUCUUCUGGCCUUCUUGGGCACUGCAUACAGAAGGUACACAGACAUAUAUUGUAGGCAAAACACAUAUAAAAUAAAAAUAAGCCUUCUAAAAAGCAAAUGAUAAGUCAUUAAUAGGUAGCAGACACGUAGAUAAACAGGACACAGCCAGGAUACCUGGAUCUAUUGAUGUGAGGUCAGAAGUUCAAUCCUCCAACUUAAAAAGCCUGUGUGGCUAUGAAUGACGGUCAUCUUAGCAAGCAGGAUUUGCUGACCAGGCUGCCACACUGAAUUGAUGAAUUCUCCAUUCAGUGAAGGAUCCUGUCUAAAUAAAUUGAGUGAUGUGCAGUUGAGCCAGGAAGACAUCUGAUGUCAAUAUUCUCAUUCGUUAGUUAAUUAGUUAGCUAGUUUUUGUCUACUUGACACAGCUAGAGUUAUCUGAGAAGAGGGAGAAAAUGAGAAAAAGUUCCUAUCAGACUGGCCUGUAGGUGACUCAGUGGAGCAUCUCCUUGAUUACUGAUGUAAUCAAGAUGUGGGACGAUGUGGGGGAAAUGUGGGAAGGCCCCUGGGGUAGCCCUGAGUGAUGUAAGGGAGCAGGGUAAGCAAGCCAUGAGGACCAAGCCAGUGAGAAAGGGUUCUUUCAUAGUCUCUGCUUCGGGUCCUGCCCCUAGAGUUUGGUUCCCCUCAGAUAAUGUACUGCCACAGGGAUAUGUAAGCUGAAUAAACCUUUCCUUUUCAAGUUGCUUUUGGUUAUGGUUUUUUACCACAACAAUAAAAAACAAACUUGGGGGUCAACCUCUGGCCUCUGCACUGGACACAUGCACGUGUGUACAAUGACCCAAACACUUGAUGCACACACAUGUGCACACAUGCACACACACACACACACACAUACACACACUCAGGGGUGGCUACCUCUGUACUUCCCUGGAGGGAGAAAGAUAACUCAGAUCAACCUGGGUUUGAUAAGAAGUUGAGCCUUCAAGUAGUCCUCACAUAAUUAAAACUAACUUAGAAGAAGAAAGAACUUAAGGAAGGGGAAGUCAUGACAGAAGCAGAAAGAUAAACAAAGAACCCAAUUAAAUAGAAUUAAUUGCAGCACACAUUAUAAGGUGGCUAAAUAAGUUAUCACAUGGCACAAUAUUUAAUGCGAAUGUCAAAAGUAAUUCUUCAAGGAGAAGAUAUACAAAUUACAUGGUGGCCUCUCUAUAAGCUGAAAAUGGGAAAUGCCAGGCAGUGAUCAAAACUAAUUUACGAAGCUUUUUGCCUCCGGAGCUUGGCUAGCGGCCAGAGAACACAUCCCAGGCUGCUGCUGUUGCAGAGGCUUCAGCCACAGGACCGUUGGCAUCCAUCCUCCUGCUCAGCGUUUCCCAGCCUGCACAGCGGUUGUUCCCAGUUCUUCUUGCAGGCUCAGACCCUCUGUUCCUUUUCUUCCUUCAGCCUUCUCUUUUUACAUGGCUUAAAUGUAUGUGUGGAUAAAUGGUAAUUGGGGAACAAUGCCUAACCAGCACAGCCUUGCUUUGGGCUGGGGCUAGAGGCGGGGAAAUGGCUAAUGAAGCCUAUAGGACAUGCAUGGAUGCAUCUAAUUCUGAAUUCAAACCCCAAAUUACCCUAACCCCUCCUGACACUGAAUAAAUAAAUUAGUCAAGAACGAUAAUUAAAUUAGAAGAGGCCAGAGAAUCAUCAUGAACUCCAUUGAAAAGCACCCUGAACUCAGAGCUUCUCAGAAGUGUUUGCUGGGUUGAAAACACAACAUCCUCAGUCAGGAACUGUGGGUGUGUGUCUGAGAAUAAGGCAAAAAUGGACAGGUUAUUAAAAAUAGAACAUUGUCAGCACAAGGACAGUAUGAUUCAUGCUGCAAAUGACAGGCAGAGGCUGUUGACCUCAGGAAGGACGAAAUGCCACCCAGUGGAACAGCACAGACAAAGCCUGGCAGAGUAGAUCCUUUCAAAGCUUGCUGUGUCGUGCUUCCGGGCCUGCCUAAUGCAAAGCAAACCAGAGGUGCACAGAG
rnacentral:lncRNA from 1 species